AUCGAUGAAGAACGCAGCGAAAUGCGAUAAGUAAUGUGAAUUGCAGAAUUCAGUGAAUCAUCGAAUCUUUGAACGCACCUUGCGCCCUUUGGCUAUUCCGAAGGGCAUGCCUGUUUGAGUAUCAUGAACACCUCAACUCUCAUGGUCCACCAUGAUGAGCUUGGACUUUGGAGGUAUUGCCGGCCCAAUUGUCGGCUCCUCUCAAAUGGAUCAGCUUGCCAGUGUUUGGUGGCAUCACGGGUGUGAUAACUAUCUACGCUCGUGGUUUUCCACCAUGUAACCUUCAGCGAUGGAGGUUCGCUGGAGCUCACAGACGUCUCUCCUCAGGGAGGACAGCUUUUUGAACGUUUGAUCUCAAAUCAGGUAGGACUACCCGCUGAACUUAAGCAUAUCAAUAAGCGGAGGAAAAGAAACUAACAAGGAUUCCCCUAGUAACUGCGAGUGAAGCGGGAAGAGCUCAAAUUUAAAAUCUGGCGUGCCUUUGGUCGUCCGAGUUGUAGUCUGGAGAAGCGUUUUCCGUGUUGGACCGUGUAUAAGUCUCUUGGAACAGGGCGUCAUAGAGGGUGAGAAUCCCGUCUUUGACACGGACUACCAAUGCUUUGUGAUGCGCUCUCAAAGAGUCGAGUUGUUUGGGAAUGCAGCUCAAAAUGGGUGGUAAAUUCCAUCUAAAGCUAAAUAUAGGCGAGAGACCGAUAGCGAACAAGUACCGUGAGGGAAAGAUGAAAAGCACUUUGGAAAGAGAGUUAAACAGUACGUGAAAUUGCUGAAAGGGAAACGCUUGAAGUCAGUCACGUCUGCCAGGACUCAGCCUCGCUUCUGCUUGGUGUACUUUCUGGUCUGAUGGGCCAACAUCAGUUUUGACCGUUGGAAAAAGGCAUCGGGAAUGUGGCACCUUCGGGUGUGUUAUAGCCCUUUGUUGUAUACAACGGUUGGGAUUGAGGACUGCAGCACGCCUUCAUGGCCGGGGUUCGCCCACGUACGUGCUUAGGAUGUUGGCAUAAUGGCUUUAAGCGACCCGUCUUGAAACACGGAAGG
rnacentral:rRNA from 1 species